rnacentral:lncRNA from 1 species
UAUUGAUGAGCUUCAAACUUUUACUUCCCAACCAGUCGUGGCAUUCUGAUUUGGUUCGUGUCAAGUCGUCUAUCUUUUGGUCAUUUAUGGACUAUUUUUCUAUCACAUUCAACUUAUACCUUAUAAGCUUUCUUGGGCAGGAUUCUUUUUCCUUUUAGGGAUCAUGAAGCCAGAAAGCAUAGGUAGACACUGAUUCACUUUUGUGUCAAAAUAGGACUGUGAGCCAACGGAGAUACAUCAUAAGAAGACUGUGUAAGUCUCUUCUCUCCCUUUCUCUUUGCUUCAAAUUCCCUUGAGCUGUUCAGACAUGAGCGAAAUUUAACCAAUUUUAAAACACUUUGAAAGGAAAAGUUCCUGUUUUUGUAUUGUUCUGCAUCUGUCUUGUUCAAUACAGUUCUUACCAAUUGAUUAUUGGUUUAGGUUUGUCUCUUGCCAUUGAUAGCGUUGGAAAUAAAUAUGGAAGACACAAUCAUGCCGUUGCUGUAUGUGCAGGGACGAUGAAUUUCUGGUGAAUGCCCCACUAAUCGAUGUGGUGUUGGACCAGAUUCUUUUCUUCAACAACAUAAUGCAAUGUUAUGGUUUUCAUGAGAACAAGGAUUCCUUGUAAUAAAGAUAGGGGGGGCAAGAGGCUGUUUGAUGAGUGAUGAAGCCUGCUCGUUUAGCAAGCUUAAUGAAUUGUGCUUGAUAAUGGAGGCAAAGUGUAUAUAGUGCAUGUAAAUUUGAUUGGUAGGGUAGAUUCUAUAGAUUUCCCAUGUUACAAAAUGUUGUAUGCUGUUCUUGGAAUAUAUGGUCACUGUAAAUAUUCUUAUUUGUAACAUGUUCUUUUGCUUUUCUGAUUUUAUUUGUUUUUCAUGACUGGUAUUAAGCCUGGACGAAUGAUGAUGAACGUGUUGGUAGUAAUGACG